UGCGGAAGGAUCAUUAAAGAUUAUGAAUGAAUAGAUUACUGGGGGAAUCGUCUGAACAAGGCCUGCGCUUAAUUGCGCGGCCAGUUCUUGAUUCUCUGCUAUCAGUUUUCUAUUUCUCAUCCUAAACACAAUGGAGUUUUUUCUCUAUGAACUACUUCCCUGGAGAGCUCGUCUCUCCAGUGGACAUAAACACAAACAAUAUUUUGUAUUAUGAAAAACUAUUAUACUAUAAAAUUUAAUAUUCAAAACUUUCAACAACGGAUCUCUUGGUUCUCGCAUCGAUGAAGAACGCAGCGAAUUGCGAUAUGUAUUGUGAAUUGCAGAUUUUCGUGAAUCAUCAAAUCUUUGAACGCACAUUGCGCCCUCUGGUAUUCCAGGGGGCAUGCCUGUUUGAGCGUCAUUUCUCUCUCAAACCUUUGGGUUUGGUAGUGAGUGAUACUCGUCUCGGGUUAACUUGAAAGUGGCUAGCCGUUGCCAUCUGCGUGAGCAGGGCUGCGUGUCAAGUCUAUGGACUCGACUCUUGCACAUCUACGUCUUAGGUUUGCGCCAAUUCGUGGUAAGCUUGGGUCAUAGAGACUCAUAGGUGUUAUAAACACUCGCUGGUGUUUGUCUCCUUGAGGCAUACGGCUUUAACCAAAACUCUCAAAGUUUGACCUCAAAUCAGGUAGGAGUACCCGCUGAACUUAAGCAUA
rnacentral:rRNA from 1 species